rnacentral:rRNA from 1 species
GACGAACGCUGGCGGCGUGCUUAACACAUGCAAGUCGAACGGAAAGGCCCUGCUUUUGUUGCUUGCUCGAGUGGCGAACGGGUGAGUAACACGUGAGUAACCUUCCCUUAACUGUGUGAUAACUUCAGGAGACUCGGGCUCAUACCGGGUAUAAUCUCCUGCUGCAUGGUGGUGGUUGGAAAGUGUCGGUUGUGGUGGAUGGACUCGCGGCUUAUCGGCUAGUUGGGGGGGUAGUGGCUUACCAAGGCUUUGAGGGAUAGCCGGCAUGGGAGGGUGACCGGCAACAUGGGGACUGAGAUACGCCCCAGACUCCAACGGGAGGCAGCGGGGGGGAUUAUGGCAGAAUGGGGGGAAGCCUGAGGCAGAAACCCCGGGUGCGGAAAACCGGCUUUUGGGUGGUAAACCGAUUUGGCAGGUGACGAGGCGGUAGUGACGGUACUUGGUAAAGAAGCACCGGCUAACUACGUG